rnacentral:rRNA from 1 species
AGCAGUGGGGAAUAUUGGACAAUGGGGGCAACCCUGAUCCAGCCAUGCCGCGUGUGUGAAGAAGGCCUUUUGGUUGUAAAGCACUUUAAGCAGUGAAGAAGACUCCAUGGUUAAUACCCAUGGACGAUGACAUUAGCUGCAGAAUAAGCACCGGCUAACUCCGUGCCAGCAGCCGCGGUAAUA